GACGAACGCUGGCGGCGUGCUUAACACAUGCAAGUCGAACGAUGAAGCCUAGCUUGCUAGGUGGAUUAGUGGCGAACGGGUGAGUAAUACGUGAGUAACCUACCUUUAACUCUGGGAUAAGCCUGGGAAACUGGGUCUAAUACCGGAUACGACCAAUCUCCGCAUGGGGUGUUGGUGGAAAGCGUUAUGUAGUGGUUAUAGAUGGGCUCACGGCCUAUCAGCUUGUUGGUGAGGUAACGGCUCACCAAGGCGACGACGGGUAGCCGGCCUGAGAGGGUGACCGGCCACACUGGGACUGAGACACGGCCCACACUUCUACU
rnacentral:rRNA from 1 species